rnacentral:lncRNA from 1 species
GUAAUCUCUGGAUGUGACAGUCUCUUGAAGUCUCCUUAAGACCUAGGACAACACACUCUGGUGCCAGGCCCUCCAACCAAAUUACAAUUGAUUCUUCACUCCUCUUGGAUCAAUGCCAUCGACCCUGGAGCAUGGAGGACAAACCCAAACUCACCCUCUAGGAACCAAUGGCCCAAGGCAAAGCCCGGCAAGAGACCUGCACGUGCAAACUUGGAAUGUGCAUGCACACAUGUAUGCACAUGCACACACACACAUGCAUUCAUCCCCUUGCCCAAGAAGCAUAUGGAUCAGCAUGCACACACAAUGCACCGGGCCACAUAUGGGUAUCCACAUGUAGACACAUACAUAGCUUGAUAUAGACAGACACUUUCAUGCAUGUCUACAUGCACGUACACAAAAAGCACACAGGCCCACUCAUAUGCAGGGGUACAGACGCAUGCCAUUGGCUAGAGAAGAGGACACUCUGAGGCUCACAGGAAGCAUGCUCUGGCCAAGUGAGGAGCUGGAUUCUAGCCCAUCCCAGCCCCCUCCCCGGCUGCUCUCCUAGCUCCACGUGUGAGCACACCCACCAUCAGUUACGGUGGGAGGGGCCCGGCAUCCUGCGACACACACCUCCGAGCCAAAACUCCUCUGCCGUUGUGGAGGCCUGUGGCGUGCCCUCCCCUGCAAUGGACCCUGCCCCAUCAUCCCUUUGGGGUGUUGGAGAAAUGCCCAGCCACUUCUCCACCAGACAAAGCCCGUUAUAACUCAGCUGGGCUCUCUCUACACCUCAGUCCUCAGAGGAGCUUGGAGUGCAUCUGCACCUGAGGCCCCAAACCAUUGGAAAGGAGGUGCCAAUCCCUACAGAUGCCAACACAGAAUGACAGCCACCAGCUCACUCCCCUCCCACACAGAAUGGGAACAUGAAUGGCAAGUAUAGAGGAGAAAGAAGACAGAGCAGGACCAGCCAUCCAAUACAGCCCGAGCAGACACCCAAGGCCUCAGACUCCACUGCUCCUUUCCUUAUGGUCAAAUUCUCUACUCCCCGCCAAUGGCCAAUGGCUUCCUGCCAGGCACAUCUCCAGGUUAAGUCACAGAAACACAGAAUAUCAGGAGAAAAGCUCUGGGAGAUCCUCGAGUCCCUCCAGCCCACAUUCUCUCGGUGCCCAACUCUCCUUAAUGACAUUCCCAGCAAGGGACUGUCCCUCACACCGAACAUACCAUGCCCAAGGACACCGGAGGAGCAGAGGCCUCAUCACAGAGCCGGUUCUCUGCCGAACAGCUCUAGAAUUCUCUCUAAAGAGAGUAAAAUCUCCCUCCCCAGAAUGUUCACCGGUUGGCAUGAAGAUUUUGUCUACUAAUUUCCCUUUACUAUACUAAUAUAUUACUAAUAUUCCUAGUGAGUUCUUGGCCUCCGCCUCCCCCCAGAUAAGCUGCAUUUGCAGGCUUACAGCAGCUGAAGAUAGAUGUCCCAGCACAUGGCCUCUCCUGACUGUGCCUUUGCUGUAGCUUCUCUGAGGUCCCACAGCUCACCCUCAGGUUUGGUAGGCCUUCCAGUUUCUAAGCAUGAGCUUCCACAGAAUGAAAUGUCAUCGUGAGUCAGUUAUUGUAUACUCUUGAGAUUUCCUGCAGGCUUGUCCUUAGAACAACAGGCACUCUCUUGUGUUCCCGGUAGCAGUUGGAAAUGGUAUAAUCACUACAGAAGACUGUCAAUAUCCAUUACAGUUGAACAAAUGCACCCCCCAUGACUUAGCAACCUUACUGCUAGACACAUACCCUACAGAAAUGCAUGCACAUGUCCCCCAAAGGGCACAUGUUAGAAUUUCAUAGCAGCAGCAUGAUUUGUAUAAUGAAAAGGAUUAAAAACAAGCCAAAUGUCCAUCACCAGUGAAACGAAUAAAUUGUGGUAUAUUCAUAUAGUAGAAUAACCAAUAAAAAUUAAUGAACUACAGUUAUACAAAACAACA